GCUGGGGAUUUGGUCUAGUGGUAUGGUGCUCGCUUCGGGUGCGAGAGGCCGCGAGUUUCGAUUCUCGCCUCCCCUUGCG
rnacentral:tRNA from 1 species